rnacentral:rRNA from 1 species
AGGGGGAGUAACAAUCCGGAAACGGGAAUCUAAAACCGCAUAGGUCUUCGAGCUGCAUGGCUUGAAGAGGAAAAGAGGCGCAAGCUUCUGCUGAUGGAUGGGCCCGCGGUGCAUUAGCUAGUUGGUGAGGUAACGGCUCACCAAGGCCGUGAUGCAUAGCCGACCUGAGAGGGUGAUCGGCCACAUUGGGACUGAGACACGGCCCAA